UACGUAGGCGGCAAGCGGUGUUCUGGUUUACGGGGCGUAAAGGGCGCGUAGGCGGCGCGUAAAGUCGGACAUGAAAACAUUGGGCUUAACCCGAUGGCUGUGCCCGAUACUUGCGUGCUUAGAGUGCGGGAGAGGCAAUCGGAAUUCUCGGUGUAGCGGUGAAAUGCGUAGAUAUCGAGAGGAACUCCGGUGACGAAGGUGGGUUGCUGGACCGACACUGACGCUGAGGCGCGAAAGCUAGUGGAGCAAACGGG
rnacentral:rRNA from 1 species